CCCCCCCCCCUGUGUGUUUUGACACUUUCCUUCAAAAAACAAACCUGGCACACUGCAGCCCUUCGUGGAUCUAACAUGCCCCACAACUUUGACAAAUGACAACCCAAUCACAUAUUAGACAUGACGUGUAACACGCGAAUGACCUCCUUUGGUUCCACACCGUUCGAGGCAACAGAGACAAACAGUUUUGGGGGCCACGCGGGGAAACUGUAUUCCACAAAGACGGAAGCCGCACACACACACACACACACACACACACACACACACGCACACUCAGGACAGAAUAUUCCCCUGAGCGAAGCUAUCGGCGGUACAAACAUCAAGAGGUUUUCUCUUUUGUGCCUCUUUCCCCCUCAGUAUGUCAAAGCGCACCCCCUUGACCUCGAGACUCCAGAUCCUCUCCCCACUCCGGCGGUCACAUCAAACAUUCAGAUGCUACAGCUGCCACCGCACGAGUUGACGCACAUGCACACACAUGUGUGUGCAGGUAGCCAAACACUGACAGACUACAGACGGGUGCAGAGGUCAUCCUGUCACUUGGAGGGAAUGCUGUGCAGUGUAAAUCACACACACCUUCAAUGUUUCAGUCAAGAACCUACUGUGAAGACACCUGUUCGACUUGGCGUAUCGCGUUGACUCGACGGCAAUCCUGAUCAAAUUAGAUGACGUUACAAUGAAGUCAAAUGCAAACGGACAUUUAAACAAAUCCCCGAGACACGCCCGCACUUGUUCCUUUGUGCAUGAGACACCCACCACCCCCCCACCACACGGCAUCACAGUCCUGUAUGACAAUGUAAUCCUAUAGUGAAGAAACGGCCCUCCCCCAUCUUCAUUAGUAGGAGUUUAAAUUCCUGAAGCCUCACUGAGCGCGCUCGACUCGGGGAACUGUAUCCCAAGCCACGCCGGGGCAGACGGAGGUGGCGCCUCGGCAAUUACAUUUUGUUUAAAAAUACUCCCCAAAUGUUGUUAGGGCUGCAUUAAAGGAUCCUGUGUUAAAACAGGCAGCAGAGGAGGAUUGAAUCAGCUCCCCGUACGAUGGCACUCCUCACUGCCCCACUCUGCAUUAAAGGCCUGUUGGGUUACACUCACAGCAUGAGACAACGCUACAGCAGCCACCGCUAACUGCAUUAAUGCCUCUGUGUUGUUAGAUAUACAGCACCUGUGGAUACAACUCGCACCGUCUGUAAUUACUGUCUGAGCAACAAAGCAAUACGUGCUGGCAGCGGCUACCUGCUCGGUCAGGACCGAGAAAUCUCCCCCCGCGGCGCCAUCGAGAUUGAAGGCUGUAGGAGCGAGUCUGGUAAAAGUAAGGUUAUUGGGUGUUAUGAUGCGAGGCCUUUUGUAAUUUUAAGAAAAUGGGAUUAUGCCACUGAUUCCUCUGCUGACACAAGUGUGGCCAGUUAGAGUCCACACUGAUUACUCCCGAUGAAGAGUUUUAUAAAAUGGCCAAUAGUAUCACUGCAGUUCCUUAGAAACCCAUCCUGUCCAACACAGUCCCACCCCCAAAGGUAUUCAUUUUACUCACAUAUAUAAUGCAGAGAUUAGCAGCAAAUCCAGCAAAUGUUUGAUAUUCAUAUGAUUCAAAAGAGCUGACGGUGAUUGAUGAGCUACACCAACUGACCUUAAAGUAGCAAAGCAAAGUAGACGUGGUGAUUUGCCGUGGAACGCGGUCUUAGGAUGAUCUAAAGUCACGGAGAUACUUUCCUGGAAACUCUCGCACACGUUUCACAGACGUAAACACAAGCACACGUGACCAAACAUCUGCGCUCCGGGCGCGGAGCGCUUCUGUUGGACAUCCUUCAUCUUUCAAACUUUAAAAGUCCACUCUCCUUCCAAAUGUUGAAUCUUUCAGUAGAACAAGAGUCCACCGUGUAAAAAUUCAUCUCUAUGUGGAGGAGAAAACUAUUGAUUUCCUUACAGCCUGAACGGUGGGAAUGUGCUCAGCCAGCGCAGUCAAGUGCAUCUGGGAUUUUUGUCGGUCCGAGCCGCCUUCUAUUUGUCUGUCUCUCUUUUGUGUGUGCAGCAUCCUCUCGUCGCUGAUUUGCAUCCGUCUGGCUGGAAUACUUCUCACUAUAGAUUCUGUAUAAGGCUUUGUAGGUUGUUAUUUUUGGUUUGCUGGCUGUGAAGUGUAAACAGUUCGAAUUAUACAGAAAUACCAAACGGUUUUAUCCCUCACACCACAAACACACCAGUCACGUUCCGACAUCCGUCUUUUGGGUUCAGAUGUGGACCGAUCCGUCCCUGAUUCAUCUUUAUCAGACUCAUCUUUUCAGACACACGCCCGCUCGCUGUCUGCUUUCUGUUCACAUUUCACCUAAACGACACUCCAUUACAGCCUAAUCGAGUCCAACAAAAGCCUCCUCUCACAUAAAAUCCAAUGGUCAACGCAGUUAUUAUCAACCAUAUACAGAAGCAUAGUAUCCUUCCUUUCACGAGGUUCAACACGCCUCAUAAUAUCAGCCAGUGAACACACACAUCUCUGUUGCCAACCAGAGUACAAAGAUGCGCGAGGUGUUUAGAAACCUGUGUGCACCUGCCGCCAUUGGCAACGAAGAAAGAAACUACAUUAAGGGCCAUUAUUGAGAAAGGGUUUUAAUCUACAAGACGGAGCCCCAACAGCUAAUAGAGACAAGACGGCAGCAAUUGCCAAGAUCUUUUUCAUGUUCCUGCAAUCAAGAGGCCCUUCAGGACUCAUUACAAAGGCUGAAUCACCGUGAAUGUCUGCUGAUGCUGAUGGAGGGAUUGCUACGCCUUAACAAGAAUAUGGACGUGAAGAAAAGGAGGAGGAGGGGCAGCAACACACCACCCGGUACCGCUGGUUCUAUGUAGAACUGUAAACACACACACGCAGCGUCCAGGUAUGAGGUCAGUGGUCCGUCUUCCCCUUUGUGUCACGUCAAGCUAUAACAGAUGGACAUUGACCCUCCCCUUAUGGACUCCGAUGGGCUCCUGAAAUCAAGAUGGAUCUCGGCGUUCUCACAUUUGCACUCUGUGAAAAUGCCCCAGGCAUUCCUCAAAAUCACACGUAAAGACUGUGUCAUUUCCAGCGCGUCUGACCGUACCGACUGCAGAGAGCUGACUACAACUUCAGGCACUCAAGACUCAGCCGCGCACGCUUGAGCCUUAUUACCAGACUGAUUAUGCAAAUCAUUGAUUUCUGGUUCAAUAACGAUAAUGCACCAGUAAUGAGUAGUUUUGGUGAAUCAGCAAAAGCAAAAAUUGUUGUUUAAUGCUCUGACCACAACUGUGAGGCAGGUUCUCCUGGUGUUCAAUCACUUUCAGCGUAAAUCGCUCGGCUUAUUCAGAUGACGCCAUUUAUCCUGCCGGAGCUUUUCCGUUUUUACGAUUAAGAGGUUUUUCACAGAUUUUUUUUGGGGUGGGACGAGGGAAGCUGCCACAAACACACAUAUUACUUCUCUGCAUCUGCUAUAGCACGAGUGUGAGUGUGGCUGGAAUUGUGCGAAACAUUGAGUGCACGCAUUACAGCUGAGGCAAGGAGAGGAGAACAAAACCCGGCUGGUUCCGAAUAAGUCUUUUUAUCAGGCGAUCGGUGACCGGUAGGAAACCUUGAGAGCCCAAACUGUGUUUUAAGUGAGACUGCAACUGCUGGGGCCAUUAUCCUUUCACUCUUAAACCUUUCUCUCCCUGUCUGUACGUGUGUCUGUAUAUGUGUGCAUGCAUGUGUGUCCACGCCGAUGUGUGUGUUGCUGUGUGUGUGUGUGUGUCCUUACCCUGCCUUGAAAGCCCUCAGAGCCUCAGGGAGCUGUGAAAAAUCAAUACUCUUCGGCAGCUCUGCCUCUUUAUUCAUUUAAUAACUCACUACCAUUGCAUUACUGUUCCACUGAUCUCCCAUCACAGGGCCCAGAUUGACACCUUUGUGCUCUUUUACCACGCUGAAGUUUGAUGUAAUCAGUUAAACCUCCACCUCACGCUUGACACAUGCAUCAAAUGGACCUUGAGUAUGAACAUGGGUGCAUCAACAACACCGCAAUAUGAAAAAGGGGAGUCAAAGAGUAAAGCCCAACUGCCAGGGAGGAACCUGCGUGUGUGUCGUGGCGCCCGCCAGGCCGUCCCAUGGCGGGCUGUGCGCCGUGAUCCCCAGAAGCGGGCUUCCAAAAAGGGAGUAACACACAAACGAGAGGAGCGGUGUGUGAGACGGGCUGGGAACAGAGGGACCACAUAGUGUGUCGUGCUGAAAAAAAGACUCAAACCUCAGCCUUGUUUGUACGGGAAAGCGAAACGCAGCGGUUCAUUUGCCGACAGACAAGUAGACGGGACAGUUUUCACCCAAACUCUGGUGUUUGACACAGGAAGGCGUCCUGUGAGUUGUGAAUGUUGGGCGCGUGUGUGUGUGUGUGCGUAUGUACAGUGAUGGUGAUUGGGAUUGUGGAGGUGGGGGUUGCCUUCCUGUGCCGGGCUCGGAGCAGAGAGCAGGUGGGCUCGGGAUGGAGCAGAGAAUCUGUAUUGAUUGUUUUUGUGCCUCAGAGCUGUUUAGCCGUUGUCAAAGCCGCCUCCACCAGCUGAGAGGCAAAUUGCAGCAUUUACACCGGGAGGCGUCUUCUUCUCUUUAAUAAAAAAAAAAAAAAAAAGAGAAAAAUCUAGUUAUUUAUUUUACAGCGUAGAAUGUAUCUACAAUCUAUAGUGUUCGGAGUUUUGUCUUUUUCUCUCUGCUCUUUUUCAUCUUUCCAGCAAAACUGCAAAACUUAAACUCCGACAUGAAAGUCAGGGAGAAAGCAGUUUGCACUGGAAAAACAUCUCCAAGCGGUUGGUGUUUCAAAAUAAUAAGAAAUAAGAGUGAGCACAAGUGAAAGUAUUAUCAGUCAAUAUUACAUUAAAAUAUUAUUUAAUAAAAGUUCAGAGGUGGAAUUUGUUUAAUUUAAGAUGUUUGAUUGUGAAAAUGCCUUUUUGUUAAAACUUUGCUACAAGUGCAAUUUCAUUAGAGUUGCAAACUAGAGGUUUUAGUGCAUGUGCCCUGUGUUUACUUACAAAUAACACACGGUGAAAAACGUGUAAUUUUGUAUUUUUCAAAUAUCAUGAGCGUUGAUUCGCAAUAUUUUUUUAAUGUGGGUGGUUGCCACAGCUGUGCUUUGUAUUACACCUCAGUCUAGAUGACACUGCACCAUUUUGGAAAGAAAAAUCUAAAUAAUAAAAGAACACUUAUAUCCAUCAAAGAUAAUGUUCUCCAGUUUUUAAAGGUACAGUCAAGCUAAACGGUGAUUAAAGCCUGGCAGGAGCUAAUAUGACCUUUGUAAAAACCCAAACUAUCAAACAUGGCGAUGGAUUUUAAGCAUAUUUCAGAGCAGGUAACUCACUAACACUGACCACCGGAAGCAAAGGAAAAGGAAAGAAAGAAAGAAAGAAACAGAGCAGGUACGUGGUGUUUACCUGGGCGAGAUAUGUGAAUUAAUAAAGCAAAUGUUUGCACAUGUCCAAAGUAGUUUUUUCCAACCAUAAAACUUAAUUGGGUAAAGCUAAUUAAAAACCAUUUCAGUCAUAUACAGUCAAAUAGAGGACCUACUUUUCAAUCAAUAGUUUAUAUUAUUCAACAAUUUUAUUUGUUAACACAUAUGCAAAUAUUUCAGAAUAAUCAAAGUUUUUCAGGACUAACAUUUCCCAAAUUUUUCUCUGUUGUUGUUGGAUUUAUGUGCCGUGGCAAAGGGGGUCGAUAUUCAUUUCUUCAAUUAACAUUAUUCGACCAAAUAAAAAGAUUAUUCACUUUGACCGUCCGCAACAUGAAACGUGUGUCUGUUAAAGGCCUGACAACGUGACAGAAAAUGCACUGGAGUGAAUGACCGUGAGUCUGUGUGAGUCUGUGUGAGUGUGUGUGCUGCAUGAGCUCGCCUGAGACGGCCUUGGUUUGCAUUUGCAUCUCGCCUGUAUGUUGAGGCCUCCCUCAGAAUGGAUCCCUGGUGGCUUCCUGAAUAUGCAUCGCUGUCUGCAUGCAUGAUUCAUUUCUUGUGCAAAUGUCAGCGUCUUAGAAUGUAAAUGCAACCGUUCUCCUGCAGUGCGUUGCAUGCUUACACACCUUAUUAGGAAUUAUCCAAUAAAUAUAGUAGAUGCUGAGGCAAUUUAAUUGAUCAUUUUAAGGAUUGCGAUCUGUGUGUGCUGUGACAUAAUAAUAAUGCAGUAAAUCGGCUUGUGAGUGAAGGUUUUCUUGUGAAACUCCACACAAAUGAUUUGAGAGUAUGUCUAUUUAUUUUCCUGUUUUUCAGGGUCUGCGUACACUACAAAUGGUUGUUGAGGGUAAAAAUAAUAAACACACGAGCUGGUAAUAGUUGGUAUCGGGGCUUCUGACUUGAAAAUUACUAUUAGUGAUUCAAGCCUCUCAGUCCUCUGCAGCUGGCGGUGAGUACAAAAAAAAAAAGGUUUUCUGCUCUGGAGCUUCCGAUUUUCAGUGUUUGAAGCCAACAUGGAUGUGCAUCAGGGCUGCUAUAUAAGAACACGUACACUAUGCAAUCCUGGGAUUAGUGACAUCUAAAGGUUGUUGCAUAGCGGCAAAUUAAUGCCUUGAUGCUGUUAAAUCUGUUUUGUUGGGGUUUAGGAAAACGUGGCGUCUACUUUAUCCAACGGAAUUUGCUUUGCAUAAUGAAUAAUAAUGUGGUAUUGUGGGGAAACCAUGAGGGGCAACACAUUUUCUCACUCCGUACCAGAGAGAUCAGAGUGCAGGGUAAGCUGCUCAACAUAUUGAACUCCCGUCUAUCCUCAGUCACUGGAUCUCAAGAUAAACCCUGUGAGGAUAUUUAAUCACCCGGCUGGACUAAUGACAGAAAUGAGAGGGACAUUUCAUCGGCUUAUUAAGCCGCGUUCUAGUUUGAUGGUUGCUUUUGAAGGGGUGGUCCCGCUGCAGUAGCGUUUCAUUGCUUGAGGACCUCAAAGAAAAAGCUGCAUUUCAUAAAGUCUAACGGUGAUUAGAUUAUACUGCGGAACCAACCACUGGAUAUAAUAUAAUACUGAUUAAUGGUUGGAGGGAGAUUUACCGUCUGCUGCUCUGCUUGAACUCUAGAUAUGCGGUAUUUGGUUAUUUUAAAUUAAACAAUCACCAUCCACAGUUUCCACACAGUUGCGUCCAUCAUGAGGUUUGUCCUGUGCUGAUGUGGCCUUGAGCUUUACACAUUAAAAAGCGGCUCAAUAUCAUAAAUUCAAAGAAUAUAAUGUUCCAAACAUAGUGUUAAUUAGGGUUACUGUUAGCACAAAGAAUCAUUGUAAUCGAGCACCGAGAGCCGGCGGUGUGAAAGCAUACUUGCUGAUGAAAAAUAAGGAAUGAGGGGAACAAUUUAUUCAAAUGAGAGGAGGCUGAAUUACACCAGAUGUGUUGAUGAUGGGUGAUGCUGUGUGAGCGGAGCGGAAAAAUAUAGCAAGUCACUCAUUCAGAUUUUAUUCCCAUUUUCAUAUUGAUCAUUAGUGAAACGUAGACAUAUAAUUUUUUAUUUAUUUUACAAACAUGUUUUGGUCUCUAAUUUAUCCCAAUCGGGGCAUGUUGUUGUUGUUGUUGUUCUCUUUUGUAUGUGACUGCUCAUGAUAUAUUAUUGUAAUUUCACAUUUGACGUAUAUGAUAACACACAAAAGUCAAAUAAAUGGGUCAUGAAAUCCAAAUAUAUAUAUACAUAGUAUCAUUAUAAAAAAAAAUUGAAAAAAAACUCAUCAAAAGCCGUGACCUUUAUUUACACCCCCCCAAUUAAAUGCUUCAUAAAAUGUGUUUUUUUUUCCUCCUUUUUUUUAAGCUACAAAGUACAGGACCAGCCACCAAAGACCCCAAACAACGUGGUCAUCAAAUGAUUCCCUGCGAACGAAGGAAAAGGAAUGAUUGGUCAGAUUAAGGUGAGGAUAGCGUCUCUCAGUGCACUCCCAAAUAUGACCAGAAGAGAGAGCCCACUGUCACUCCUUCCACUGAAACACCUUCCUCCUCGUCCAUCAGAGGGCACUGUUGACCCGCCGGCUUUAUUCCGCUCUCUGAGUUGCUCGGGGCGUUUUUCCCAGGCCGAGGAGGGGAGGGGGUGAGUGGAG
ensembl:lncRNA